GGUUAACCGAAUAGGGGAGCCGGAGGGAAACCGAGUCUUAAUUGGGCGUUAAGUUGCAGGGUAUAGACCCGAAACCCGGUGAUCUAGCCAUGGGCAGGUUGAAGGUUGGGUAACACUAACUGGAGGACCGAACCGACUAAUGUUGAAAAAUUAGCGGAUGACCUGUGGCUGGGGGUGAAAGGCCAAUCAAACCGGGAGAUAGCUGGUUCUCCCCGAAAGCUAUUUAGGUAGCGCCUCGUGAAUUCAUCUCCGGGGGUAGAGCACUGUUUCGGCUAGGGGGCCAUCCCGGCUUACCAACCCGAUGCAAACUGCGAAUACCGGAGAAUGUUAUCACGGGAGACACACGGCGGGUGCUAACGUCCGUCGUGAAGAGGGAAACAACCCAGACCGCCAGCUAAGGUCCCAAAGUCAUGGUUAAGUGGGAAACGAUGUGGGAAGGCCCAGACAGCCAGGAUGUUGGCUUAGAAGCAGCCAUCAUUUAAAGAAAGCGUAAUAGCUCACUGGUCGAGUCGGCCUGCGCGGAAGAUGUAACGGGGCUAAACCAUGCACCGAAGCUGCGGCAGCGACACUGUG
rnacentral:rRNA from 1 species